rnacentral:lncRNA from 1 species
CCUAGAAAAUGUUCCAUGUGUGCUUGAGAAGGUUUAUUUGGUACUGAUGAGGGAGUAGGAGGCUGGCUGAGGACAGAGCAAAAGCUGGCGCCUUGCACCCCCUCUUCACCCGCUCCCCUCCAUAUGUGUAGCAUCCCUCAGAUACCCCUGACUGCCAUAAAACGAUAAAUAGCUAACUUGCAGGGAUCGCAGUCCUGCAGAACAGGAAUCUCCCUUGCUCUACAGAUGUCCUAGAGACCUAAACAGGGAGGUUACCUUAUCAAUAGCACAAAUUUCCAGAGGCAAAUAACUCUCGGUUCCUGAAGCCCUAAUGUCUCCCUCCCACCAUAAACUGGAGGAGACUGAGGUAGAAGGGAAUGUAAAUGAUAGCAGGAUCAUAAUACCCCACCAAGAAUCUCCCAACUAUCUUGAUGUUAGUGCCUGACCUAAAGACGAUAUUGAUAAAGCCAUAAGGGCAAGGCCUCCCCCCUGCACCUUGUAGGCCCUCCCUAACAUGUGAGAACUCUGUUGAAACCUCCCAUCCUUUCCUUCCCCUUCCCCCAACUGCAAGGUAUAUAACAUGCCUACCUUCACAACCUGGGGCAGCAGCUCUUCUUGCCCACGGGUCCUGUCCCCGUGCUUUAAUAAACCACCAUUUUGCACCAAAGAUGUCUCAAGAAUUCUUUCUUGGUCAUCGGUUCUGGACCUCAGCCCACCGAACCUCACCUAGGUUCUAGAACUUCAUCAUAUGGCGCCUGAACGUGGGGCUGUGAGUCUUUACAUUUGGACUCUGAGCUUCGGUGCAAAAUUGGAGCAAGAAGAGCACCCCCUGGACCUAACACCCCCACUCCAGAUCUUCCCAUGCAUGUCUCAGGUAAACAUCCAAAGUGGAGUGGGCCCAGGUGGAACGUAAAUCACUAUUGGAACUAAGUUAAGUUUGUUGGUUUAAUUAAUGUAAGACGUGUCUUUUAAGUUAUCAGCAGUAAAUGUGAAACUUNNNNNNNNNNNNN